ACUUAAAUUGAAGAGUUUGAUCAUGGCUCAGAUUGAACGCUGGCGGCAGGCCUAACACAUGCAAGUCGAGCGGUAGCACAGAGAGCUUGCUCUCGGGUGACGAGCGGCGGACGGGGGAGUAAUGUCUGGGAAACUGCCUGAUGGAGGGGGAUAACUACUGGAAACGGUAGCUAAUACCGCAUAACGUCGCAAGACCAAAGUGGGGGACCUUCGGGCCUCAUGCCAUCAGAUGUGCCCAGAUGGGAUUAGCUAGUAGGUGGGGUAACGGCUCACCUAGGCGACGAUCCCUAGCUGGUCUGAGAGGAUGACCAGCCACACUGGAACUGAGACACGGUCCAGACUCCUACGGGAGGCAGCAGUGGGGAAUAUUGCACAAUGGGCGCAAGCCUGAUGCAGCCAUGCCGCGUGUGUGAAGAAGGCCUUCGGGUUGUAAAGCACUUUCAGCGGGGAGGAAGGCGGUGAGGUUAAUAACCUCACCGAUUGACGUUACCCGCAGAAGAAGCACCGGCUAACUCCGUGCCAGCAGCCGCGGUAAUACGGAGGGUGCAAGCGUUAAUCGGAAUUACUGGGCGUAAAGCGCACGCAGGCGGUCUGUCAAGUCGGAUGUGAAAUCCCCGGGCUCAACCUGGGAACUGCAUUCGAAACUGGCAGGCUAGAGUCUUGUAGAGGGGGGUAGAAUUCCAGGUGUAGCGGUGAAAUGCGUAGAGAUCUGG
rnacentral:rRNA from 1 species